rnacentral:misc_RNA from 1 species
CUUUAUAGAAGUAAGCAGCAGUUUUCUUAUUAAUUAUCUACUGUUACAUUCCUGCCUUCCUGAGCAAGCAGGACUGAUGGGCUCAAGGCAAAAGCUACGCCCCAAGCACAAGAAAAUUUUUCAUUCAAUCAGUUUUAAAUACAAUAACAAAAAAAAAAAUUAAAAAGAAGUUUAAAUUAACACUACAUAAGAACAUGAUAUCCCUACUUCUAUAAAGCAAAUCCAUGGCAACUACAACUCUUUUAUCAAAACCAGCCAACCACAAUGUGUUCCCAAUGUAGUCAACACGCCACAAUAAUAGCCAAAAGGAUCAAUUUCUCAAUUCCCCUAACUAGUAAAUCACACCAAUUUUCUUAGCAAAGUCAUC